CUAAAGCUCAAUAUAAGUACAGUUCUAUGAACACAAAAUAACACAUGAUACUUUCAUUGGAAGAUCUGGAUCAAGUUGGCAAGAGUUAGGGAUGACAAGUACUAUCACAUCAAGGGUGAUAACAGAGAUGGUGAGCCAAUCAGGAUGAGCUACCCUAGGAACAGGAUUUGCAACCUGAAGAAAAUUCAAUUGAUUCAAGUACAGCUACCAGAGGGAGAGAGAGAGGGAGAGAGAGAAGUUCACAAGCAAUACCUUUUGCAUUGCAGCCGGAAUGGUGACAAUUUUCUGAAUUGCUGAACCAAGGCGUUGCUUGUAAUAGGACCAGUCAAUAAUGGAACGAAUGCCAACAUCUGAUGAAACCUUGCACCACUUCCUUACAUAAAACUUCAUAAUUUCUGAUAAGUUGAAAUACAAUAUCUCUUUAGAA